AUACGGAGGGUGCAAGCGUUAAUCGGAAUUACUGGGCGUAAAGCGUACGUAGGCGGUUAUUUAAGUCAGAUGUGAAAGCCCCGGGCUUAACUUGGGAACUGCAUUUGAAACUGGGUAACUAGAGUUUAGUAGAGGGGAGUGGAAUUUCAGGUGUAGCGGUGAAAUGCGUAGAGAUCGGAAGGAACACCAGUGGCGAAGGCGACUCCCUGGACUAAAACUGACGCUGAGGUACGAAAGCGUGGGUAGCAAACAGGAUUAGAAACCCUAGUAGUCC
rnacentral:rRNA from 1 species